GAUGAACGCUGGCGGCGUGCCUAAUACAUGCAAGUCGAGCGAACAGACGAGGAGCUUGCUCCUUCGACGUUAGCGGCGGACGGGUGAGUAACACGUAGAUAACCUACCUAUAAGACUGGGAUAACUUCGGGAAACCGGAGCUAAUACCGGAUAAUAUUUUGAACCGCAUGGUUCGAUAGUGAAAGAUGGCUUUGCUAUCACUUAUAGAUGGAUCUGCGCCGUAUUAGCUAGUUGGUAAGGUAACGGCUUACCAAGGCAACGAUACGUAGCCGACCUGAGAGGGUGAUCGGCCACACUGGAACUGAGACACGGUCCAGACUCCUACGGGAGGCAGCAGUAGGGAAUCUUCCGCAAUGGGCGAAAGCCUGACGGAGCAACGCCGCGUGAGUGAUGAAGGUCUUCGGAUCGUAAAACUCUGUUAUUAGGGAAGAACAAACGUGUAAGUAACUGUGCACGUCUUGACGGUACCUAAUCAGAAAGCCACGGCUAACUACGUG
rnacentral:rRNA from 1 species